UACGAACGCUGGCGGCAGGCUUAACACAUGCAAGUCGAGCGCGUAGCAAUACGAGCGGCAGACGGGUGAGUAACGCGUGGGAAUCUACCCCUUACUACGGAAUAACGCAGGGAAACUUGUGCUAAUACCGUAUGUGACCGGAAGGUGAAAGAUUUAUCGGUAAGGGAUGAGCCCGCGUUGGAUUAGCUAGUUGGUGGGGUAAAGGCCUACCAAGGCGACGAUCCAUAGCUGGUCUGAGAGGAUGAUCAGCCACACUGGGACUGAGACACGGCCCAGACUCCUACGGGAGGCAGCAGUGGGGAAUAUUGGACAAUGGGCGCAAGCCUGAUCCAGCCAUGCCGCGUGAGUGAUGAAGGCCCUAGGGUUGUAAAGCUCUUUCACCGGUGAAGAUAAUGACGGUAACCGGAGAAGNAAGCCCCGGCUAACUUCGUGCCAGCAGCCGCGGUAAUACGAAGGGGGCUAGCGUUGUUCGGAUUUACUGGGCGUAAAGCGCACGUAGGCGGACUAUUAAGUCAGGGGUGAAAUCCCGGGGCUCAACCCGGAACUGCCUUUGAUACUGGUAGUCUUACGNAGUUCGAGAGAGGUGAGUGGAAUUCCGAGUGUA
rnacentral:rRNA from 1 species